rnacentral:rRNA from 1 species
UACGUAGGGCGCAAGCGUUGUCCGGAAUUAUUGGGCGUAAAGAGCUCGUAGGCGGUCUGUCGCGUCUGCCGUGAAAACCCGAGGCUUAACCUCGGGCUGGCGGUGGAUACGGGCAGACUAGAGGUAGGUAGGGGAGAAUGGAAUUCCCGGUGUAGCGGUGAAAUGCGCAGAUAUCAGGAGGAACACCGGUGGCGAAGGCGGGUCUCUGGGCCGAUACUGACGCUGAGGAGCGAAAGCAUGGGUAGCGAACAGG